GGAAAGAGUUCCAGCUUCAUCACGGAGUUUCUCUCGGUUUGUGGGCUCAUCUAAAGGACCAACGUGGAUCGAGAAGUCAGCGCUCUCAGGAGGCCGACAAUUUUGUUGAAGAAAGAAGUGGAAGAAAAAAAUACGACCGUGACGAGUUUGGGAAAGAUUUUACUGUGAAAGCUUCCCUAAAAAUGCAUCAGGUCAUCCACACAGGAGAGAGACCGUUCAGCUGUGACGAGUGUGGAAAGUCUUUUACGCGCAUUUCACACUUAAAAUCACAUCAACUCAUCCACAGUGGAGUUAAAGCAUACACCUGUGAUCAGUGUGGCAGAGCUUUUACUCACAUUAACAGCUUACAGAGUCAUCUAGUUACCCACUCUGGAAUUAAGGCGUACAGCUGUGACAUUUGUGGAAAAACUUUCAGCCGGAUAGGGAGCCGAAAUACACACCUACGCAUUCACACCAGACAUGAUGUGUACAGCUGUGAUCAGUGUGGUAAACAGUGUACUACAAACACAGAGUUACGACGUCACAUGUUUACCCACACUGAGGAACGACCUUAUAAAUGUGACCUGUGUGAGAAGACUUUUAAAUCUCCACGUUGCCUGGAAGCACACCAACAGAUCCACACCAGAAAGACUCUACAAGUGCAGUUACUGUGAGAAGCAGAGCGACACAGAUGGAUCAAGUUCUCAACCCUGUCAUCGCUGUGGGAAAGACUUUUGUUGUGACCUUUGUGGAAAAACUUUAAGUCAUUGAAGGACUCUGAAAAUACAUCAACGUAGACACACUGGAGA